ensembl:misc_RNA Metazoa_SRP Metazoan signal recognition particle RNA
GCCGGGCGCGGGGGUGUGUGCCUAUAGUCUCAGCUACUGGGAGGCUGAGGUGGGAGGAUUGCUUGAGCCCAGGAGUUCUGGGCUGUAGUGAGCUAUGCCGAUCGGGUGUCUGCACUAAGUUUGGCAUCAUGUGGUGACCUCCUUAGGUUGCCUAAGGAGGGGUGAACUGGCCUGGGUAAGAAAUGGAGCAGGUUGAAACUCCCAAGCUGAUUAGUAGUUGGAUAGCGCCUGUGAAUAGCCACUGCAAUCCAGCCUGGGCAACAUAGUGAGACCCCAUCUCUA